CGGAGCUGAGAGGAGCUUGCUUUUCUUAGCUUAGUGGCGAACGGGUGAGUAACGCGUGAGUAACCUGCCCUGGAGUGGGGGACAACAGUUGGAAACGACUGCUAAUACCGCAUAAGCCCACGAUCCGGCAUCGGAUUGAGGGAAAAGGAUUUAUUCGCUUCAGGAUGGACUCGCGUCCAAUUAGCUAGUUGGUGAGGUAACGGCCCACCAAGGCGACGAUUGGUAGCCGGACUGAGAGGUUGAACGGCCACAUUGGGACUGAGACACGGCCCAGACUCCUACGGGAGGCAGCAGUGGGGGAUAUUGCACAAUGGGGAAACCCUGAUGCAGCGACGCCGCGUGGAGGAAGAAGGUUUUCGGAUUGUAAACUCCUGUCGUUAGGGACGAUAAUGACGGUACCUAACAAGAAAGCACCGGCUAACUACGUGCCAGCAGCCGCGGUAAAACGUAGGGUGCAAGCGUUGUCCGGAAUUACUGGGCGUAAAGGGAGCGCAGGCGGACCGGCAAGUUGGAAGUGAAAACUAUGGGCUCAACCCAUAAAUUGCUUUCAAAACUGCUGGCCUUGAGUAGUGCAGAGGUAGGUGGAAUUCCCGGUGUAGCGGUGGAAUGCGUAGAUAUCGGGAGGAACACCAGUGGCGAAGGCGACCUACUGGGCACCAACUGACGCUGAGGCUCGAAAGCAUGGGUAGCAAACAGGAUUAGAUACCCUGGUAGUCCAUGCCGUANACGAUGAUUACUAGGUGUUG
rnacentral:rRNA from 1 species